GCCUGCUUAGCAUAGUGGCUAAUGCGUUGCACUUGUAUCCUCGACGACAUGCAAAGAUCACAGGUUCGAUUCCUGUAGUAGGCA